AGAGUUUGAUCCUGGCUCAGGAUGAACGUUGGCGGCGUGCUUGAGAUAUGCAAGUCGAACGCCCCACCGCAAGGUGGGAGUGGCGGACGGCUGAGUAACACGUAGGAACCUACCCCUAAGUAGGGGAUAGCUUUUCGAAAGAAGAGAUAAUACUCUAUAGUCUCCGACUUUUUGUUGGAGUAAAGGAUGUAACUAUUUGCUUAGGGAUGGGCCUGCGGCCUAUCACGGUAGUUGGUGAGGUAACGGCUCACCAAGCCUAUGACGGGUAGCUGGUCUGAGAGGAUGGUCAGCCAGAGAGGGACUGAGACACGGCCCUCACUCCUACGGGAGGCAGCAAUCAGGAAUAGUCGGCAAUGGGCGAAAGCCUGACCGCGCGACGCCGCGUGUAGGAAUAAGUUCUAACGAAUGUAAACUACUGUGGUAGGGGAAAAAAUCCCGCUUAGCGGGACUGAUUGUACCCUACUAGAAAGGGGCCGCUAACUGCGUGCCAGAAGCGUCGGUAAUACGUGGGCCCCAAACGUUAUCCGGUUUUACUGGGUGUAAAAGGUCGCGUAGGUGGUCCGAUAAGUCCUAUUUUAAAUUCUUCGGCUAAACCAAAGAAAAGGAUAAGAUACUAUCGAACUUGAAUUUACUUUAGGGAGAAUGGAACUCAGGGAGGAGUAGUGAAAUGCGUUGAUACCCUGGGGAACACCAGUGGCGAAGGCGAUUCUCUAAAAGUUUAUUGACACUGAGGCACGAAAGCUAGGGGAGCGAAGCAGAUUAGAGACCUGCGUAGUCCUAGCCCUAAACGUAUGUCUGCUAGCCGCACUUCCUCCGACUUAGUCGGGGAGGGUGUAGCGAAGGCAACCCGUUAAGCAGACCACCUGGGGAGUACGGCCGCAAGGUUGAAACUCAAAGGAAUUGGCGGGGAGGCACACAACCAGUGGAACAUGUGGUUCAAUUCGACACGAACCGAAAAACCUCACCAGGGUUUGACAUGCUAUCGUUUAUCUUGCUAGAAAUAGUAAGAAAUCCGCAAGGAUGAUAGCACAGGUGCUGCAUGGCUGUCGUCAGUUCGUUCCGUGAGGAGUACCCUUAAGUGGGACAACGAACGCAACCCUUGUCUUGUGUUAUAUAUUUCACAAGAGACUGCCCCGACGUUUCGUCGGGAAGGAAGGUAAGGCAGACGUCAAGUCAGCAUGGUCCUUAUGUCCUGGGCUACACACAUGUUACAAUGAGAAAUGACAACGAGCUUUGCUAGCAGGUAACUGUAAGCAAAUCUCUGAAAAUUUCUCUCAGUGGGGAUUGAGGUCUGCAACCCGACCUCAUGAACGCGGAAUUGGUAGUAAUCGCGGAUCAGCAUUGCCGCGGUGAAUACGUUCUUGCCUCUUGCACACACCGCCCGUCAAGCCAACAAAGUUGAGAUCAUCUGAACCCCGAUUUAAUCGGGGGAGGAUAAUUUCGGCGAUGGGGGUUAAGUCGUAACAAGGUAACCGUUUUGGAAGAAGCGGUUGGAUCACCUCCU
rnacentral:rRNA from 6 species